GCAAGUCGAACGGAGCUGCUUUGAUGAAGUUUUCGGAUGGAUUUAAAACAGCUUAGUGGCGGACGGGUGAGUAACGCGUGGGUAACCUGCCUCACACUGGGGGAUAACAGUUAGAAAUAGCUGCUAAUACCGCAUAAGCGCACGGUUCCGCAUGGAACAGUGUGAAAAACUCCGGUGGUGUGAGAUGGACCCGCGUCUGAUUAGCCAGUUGGAGGGGUAACGGCCCACCAAGGCGACGAUCAGUAGCCGGUCUGAGAGGAUGAAC
rnacentral:rRNA from 1 species